CAGUAGCCGCGGUAAUACGAACCGUGCGAACGUUAUUCGGAAUCAUUGGGCUUAAAGCGCGUGUAGGCGGAUGGGAACGUCGGUCGCUGAAAUACCCCGGCUCAACCGGGGAACUGGCAUCGAAACGACCCGUCUCGAGGGGCAUAGGGGGAGCUGGAACUUCCGGUGGAGCGGUGAAAUGCGUUGAGAUCGGAAGGAACGCCCGUGGCGAAAGCGAGCUCCUGGAUGUCUUCUGACGCUGAGACGCGAAAGCUAGGGUAGCGAACGGGAUUAGAUACCCGAGUAGUCCCUGUCUCUUAUU
rnacentral:rRNA from 1 species